UACGUAGGGGGCGAGCGUUGUUCGGAUUUACUGGGCGUAAAGAGCGCGUAGGCGGUUCGGCAAGUCGGAGGUGAAAGCCCUUGGCUCAACCAAGGAUCCGCGUCCGAUACUACCGAGCUUGAGUGCAGGAGAGGAGAGCGGAAUUCCCAGUGUAGCGGUGAAAUGCGUAGAUAUUGGGAGGAACACCGGUGGCGAAGGCGGCUCUCUGGACUGCUACUGACGCUGAGGCGCGAAAGCUAGGGGAG
rnacentral:rRNA from 1 species